UUGUUCUAGAUUAUUUUGGCACUUGACUCAAAUCACUAAAUUCCCUUUACUCGAAUCAAACAUGAUUUUUUCAUUUAUUUUUGUGUUUCAUCUCCAGCAUCUCUAUAAAUCAUUUUCCUCCCUCCCUCAUAAUUCAUAACAUGAAAAUGAUUAUUGUGAUGAUAAUCAUAUCGUUGAAAGUCUUUCUAAAAACAUGUAAGCUCGCUUUGAAAGAACACCUUUCACAUCUAUCUUUGGCAUCUGAACUCAUCUUUAACCUAUAGCAAUAUUAACAUCAAUUUCUUCUUAAUUCAUAUAGAAUGUGAGAUCAUUGUAGAGGAGGUUCAUUCUUUUUAUGUUUGUGAAGUUCUUAAGUUACAUGUCAAGAUUCAGAUUUGUGUGGUGUUACUGGAGUUUGGUAAUCUAGCAAUAAAAAGAAGAAGUAUUUUCUCCAGUUUACUUUGGUAGAGUUGUGCAGAAGUCUACAAACAAAGUCAGUAUUUUUGUGUUCUUCAUACAGAUCAAUGUACAAGGGACCGGUAGGACCGUGUAAAGGUUGUUGCAUAACGGAAGCUUGACAGGGACUUGUAUCUGGAA
rnacentral:lncRNA from 1 species